GGUGAUGGGUGGUUACAGCUUUAUCUUCUGCUGCUUUGCUGAGAUGGAAACUAACGCACGGGAAUUGGAGAAAGCUGAAGUUUGACGGAAGAUUUUGUGAACUUCUCGUGGCAUGGCUGAACCGUUCAGUGAGUGAGCUUGAUGUGAUUUUUGGUAUGAAAACAUUGAUUUAACUGCCUUCAUUCGAAUCUUUACGUGACGAGAAUUGGACUCUAUGGUAUCCAUUGCAAUUUCAAUUGGAUUCCAACUGAGGCUAUUCAAAGAGAGUGCGUAGAGUUCAAUUCCUUACUGGAAGUGAUCUUUAUAUUCCAUAUAAGAGUCAUGUUAGUAUCUCAAAAUCAUUAGAACCCUUGAAAAACACUGUAUUUGGCUUUCAAACACUAUUUUUGUUUCGCUUGAAAGCCAAUUAAAUUAAAAAAUGUAACAAAAACCUGUAAAUCGCUCAAAUAUACGAUUCUCUGGAUCGACAACCGGGGCGCACAAAA